rnacentral:rRNA from 1 species
GAUGAACGCUGGCGGCGUGCCUAAUACAUGCAAGUCGAGCGAACGGACGAGAAGCUUGCUUCUCUGAUGUUAGCGGCGGACGGGUGAGUAACACGUGGAUAACCUACCUAUAAGACUGGGAUAACUUCGGGAAACCGGAGCUAAUACCGGAUAAUAUUUUGAACCGCAUGGUUCAAAAGUGAAAGACGGUCUUACUGUCACUUAUAGAUGGAUCCGCGCUGCAUUAGCUAGUUGGUAAGGUAACGGCUUACCAAGGCAACGAUGCAUAGCCGACCUGAGAGGGUGAUCGGCCACACUGGAACGGAGACACGGUCCAGACUCCUACGGGAGGCAGCAGUAGGGAAUCUUCCGCAAUGGGCGAAAGCCUGACGGAGCAACGCCGCGUGAGUGAUGAAGGUCUUCGGAUCGUAAAACUCUGUUAUUAGGGAAGAACAUAUGUGUAAGUAACUGUGCACAGCUUGACGGUACCUAAUCAGAAAGCCACGGCUAACUACGUG